AGAGUUUGAUCCUGGCUCCGAUUGAACGCUGGCGGCAUGCCUUACACAUGCAAGUCGAACGGUAACGCGGGGCAACCUGGCGACGAGUGGCGAACGGGUGAGUAAUGCAUCGGAACGUGCCCAGUAGUGGGGGAUAGCCCGGCGAAAGCCGGAUUAAUACCGCAUACGACCUACGGGUGAAAGGGGGGGAUCGCAAGACCUCUCGCUAUUGGAGCGGCCGAUGUCAGAUUAGGUAGUUGGUGGGGUAAAAGCCUACCAAGCCAACGAUCUGUAGCUGGUCUGAGAGGACGACCAGCCACACUGGGACUGAGACACGGCCCAGUCUCCUACGGGAGGCAGCAGUGGGAAAUUUUGGACAAUGGGCGCAAGCCUGAUCCAGCCAUGCCGCGUGCGGGAAGAAGGCCUUCGGGUUGUAAACCGCUUUUGUCAGGGAAGAAAUCUUCUGGGUUAAUACCUCGGGAGGAUGACGGUACCUGAAGAAUAAGCACCGGCUAACUACGUGCCAGCAGCCGCGGUAAUACGUAGGGUGCAAGCGUUAAUCGGAAUUACUGGGCGUAAAGCGUGCGCAGGCGGUUAUGCAAGACAGAUGUGAAAUCCCCGGGCUUAACCUGGGAACUGCAUUUGUGACUGCAUAGCUAGAGUGCGGCAGAGGGGGAUGGAAUUCCGCGUGUAGCAGUGAAAUGCGUAGAUAUGCGGAGGAACACCGAUGGCGAAGGCAAUCCCCUGGGCCUGCACUGACGCUCAUGCACGAAAGCGUGGGGAGCAAACAGGAUUAGAUACCCUGGUAGUCCACGCCCUAAACGAUGUCAACUGGUUGUUGGGAGGGUUUCUUCUCAGUAACGUAGCUAACGCGUGAAGUUGACCGCCUGGGGAGUACGGCCGCAAGGUUGAAACUCAAAGGAAUUGACGGGGACCCGCACAAACGGUGGAUGAUGUGGUUUAAUUCGACGCAACGCGAAAAACCUUACCUACCCUUGACAUGCCUGGAAUCCUGCAGAGAUGCGGGAGUGCUCGAAAGAGAGCCAGGACACAGGUGCUGCAUGGCCGUCGUCAGCUCGUGUCGUGAGAUGUUGGGUUAAGUCCCGCAACGAGCGCAACCCUUGUCAUUAGUUGCUACGAAAGGGCACUCUAAUGAGACUGCCGGUGACAAACCGGAGGAAGGUGGGGAUGACGUCAGGUCAUCAUGGCCCUUAUGGGUAGGGCUACACACGUCAUACAAUGGCCGGUACAGAGGGCUGCCAACCCGCGAGGGGGAGCUAAUCCCAGAAAACCGGUCGUAGUCCGGAUCGCAGUCUGCAACUCGACUGCGUGAAGUCGGAAUCGCUAGUAAUCGCGGAUCAGCUUGCCGCGGUGAAUACGUUCCCGGGUCUUGUACACACCGCCCGUCACACCAUGGGAGCGGGUUCUGCCAGAAGUAGUUAGCCUAACCGCAAGGAGGGCGAUUACCACGGCAGGGUUCGUGACUGGGGUGAAGUCGUAACAAGGUA
rnacentral:rRNA from 1 species